GGUUUUUCAGGUCCACACGCGAGCGGCGCAGCGGCGCGAGGAAAGGGCGUAACUCUAUAGAUAGUGACCUACCACUGAGACCAGAGAUAGCAAUACCUCGAGUUGGUCUAGCAUAAGGGAAUAGCAAAGAGAAGAAAACAAAGUUGUAAUGACAAAUGGUUGUAUUUUGGAAGUUAAAUGUGAUAUGUAAAAAGUACGUGAUGUGAAUGCUUGUAAUAACUUAGUUGUUUUAUAUUAUUGAUACCUUCCUUAUGCAAUCUUUGUAUGCAAUCUGUUCCUGAUUGGAACCUCGUGAAUUGUUUGGAUUGUGACGCCUAGGACGUACAGGGGAGACUUUGUCCGUUCGGCGGUCUGUUGGUGUGCUCGAAUCCGACCAAAUAGGCGGGUCUCGAGGUGUGACAUUUAUGGUUUGCAACUUU
rnacentral:lncRNA from 1 species